UGGUGCUCUCCAAAUGAAUAGUGGUUAUUGGUUCUUGUGAUUAUUUCACGUUCGUUUUCUUCGUACCGAUACGUUGUACACCUUAUAAAUUACGGAAAUAUGUCCAGGAAUUCUUAGAGAGAGUGUGUGAAAAUAUUUGAUUGGCCCGGGACCUUUAGUGUCAGUGCGUGCUACUCGCAAAGAUAUCACAAUUAUUCUGUCGAGACGCCCAUGUUACCACUCCUCCAGAUCACAAAGGUCUCAUAGUUUAAGGCAAAGGUGACGGCAUGUUUAAGACGCAGAUCUUGACAUUUUUUUGACGCGCUAUAUCUCCGGAGCUACAAGACCCGAAUCAGGCUGAAUUGCCACGGAGGUGUUGACAAAGAAAUGAUGUCGGGAUUUCGUCCUCCUCAGACCGAAUAGAUGAACUGAAGAG